UACAUGGGGUGCAAACGUUGCUCGGAAUUAUUGGGCGUAAAGCGCACGUAGGCGGUUUGUUAAGUCGGAUGUGAAAUCCCUCGGCUCAACUGAGGAAGUGCAUCCGAAACUGGCAAGCUUGAGGGCUUCAGAGGGACACGGAAUUCCGGGUGGAGUGGUGAAAUGCGCAGAUAUCAGGAGGAACACCAAUGGCGAAGGCAGCUCGCUGGGACGGUACUGACGCUGAGGCGCGAAAGCGUGGGGAGCAAACAGG
rnacentral:rRNA from 1 species